CUCUGGGGUUCCCGAUGCAGCCCCUGGAUGAAGCCACAGUAUUUUCCUUAUAUGAUUGGGCCCCAUUGCUGGCGGUGCCGCUGGCCCGGAGCCUGAGAGGAUUAUGAAAACGUGUGUCCGGCGGAGUGGGGCCAGGGAACCCGGGG
ensembl:scaRNA SCARNA17 small Cajal body-specific RNA 17